GAGCUGUACACGAGGUCUUUUUCUAUGCUGUUUCAGGUGACCUCAACAUAGUGAGCAACAAAAGAGGUCUACCGUCGACUUCCUCACCGCCGUGCAGCUUUGUCUGGGUAUAGCUUUGAUGUCUGGUUCAAAUUUAUCUCACAAAUCUCAACAAUUCAUGACUGUCAUCUCCGAAAGCAGACUUCUUAAGUUGACUUCUUUCAUUUGCAGUAUCUCACAAAUCUCAAAAAUUCGUCACCGUCAUCUCCAUUUUCUCCACCAUCGACAUCGAGACGUGUAGGGAGUUUUGUCCUAACAGGCCCAAGUGCCCAACACAACA